rnacentral:rRNA from 1 species
GCACCAGACUCCUACGGGAGGCAGCAGUGAGGAAUAUUGGUCAAUGGGCGAGAGCCUGAACCAGCCAAGUCGCGUGAGGGAGGACGGCCCUACGGGUUGUAAACCUCUUUUGCCGGGGGACAAACGGCGGCACGCGUGCCGUCCUGAGGGUACCCGGAGAAAAAGCAUCGGCUAACUCCGUGCCAGCAGCCGCGGUAAUACGGAGGAUCCGAGCGUUAUCCGGAUUUAUUGGGUUUAAAGGGAGCGUAGAUGGGUUGUUAAGUCAGUUGUGAAAGUUUGCGGCUCAACCGUAAAAUUGCAAUUGAUACUGGCAGCCUUGAGUACAGUUGAGGUAGGCGGAAUUCGUGGUGUAGCGGUGAAA